GCCAUUGACGCUGUCACCUGGGAAGACAUGGGGGUAAGCACUUGCAACACAGGCGCCAGCUACAGCUUCCGGUAGCACCGGAAGGAGCAUUUCAUUCGCGUACAUGCAUAAUGAACGUAACUGGUAUUCACACGAUGGCAAAGGCAAAAGAACGUCCUCUUUGAACGCAGUGGGAGUGCUGAAGGCCUCUGGCCGCGCCAUGGCUGCUGAGGUGGGACGCAGUAAGAUAGUAAUUUCAACCUCCGAAGAUCCUAAGGGUUAUGGAACACAAAAGUGGCAGACCCAAGACACGGCACCAGACCCAAGACACGUCACCAGCCCUGACCGGGGGACCCGAUUGGCUGGCUGUCAAGACCAUCCUCGGGCCCCGAUGAAGGCUGUUACUGCCGCCCAAAGCCAUUUCUGAGGUGAGAGCUCGCUCAGCGAAGGGUUGGGAAACCCUCUCCUCCUCAUCCUCAUCCUUCCGGCUCAUCAGCAUGCUGAGAGAAGAUAUGAGGGAUGCCGCUCGUCUGAAUAUUCCUCUCUCCCUCAGGCUGAGAUCCACACCCACCCACCCACCGCCUCCCCCCUCCCACUUUCAUGCAGCAUUUUCACCACGGCACAUUGAGAACAAAUUGGCAGAAAUGAUCAGUGUGAAUGUUCUCUCUUCAGGGAGUCUGGGCGGGGAGAAAAAUGGUUAUUUUUAUGUUUUUAUACCGAUUUCCAUUGUUAUAUUGUAUCUCUGUGCACGAGUGGAGGAAACGUUUAAUGGCUCGACUAAAAGUGGGGAUGCUCAACACGAUAUCAUCAGCCGAUGUUGGCAUAAAAAUGACAUAUUGCUUCAUAUCAGUAUUGCCUUUUCCGUGGAUAAUGAUAUUGACGUAAGUUCAAGAUUUCCAGCUCGGUUUAUUCUCGCUUUGGAACGUCUUUAGAAUGCAAACAUGGUAUUUGCAAAGACGCUAAAGUGCUACGAUAUGACUCAUGUCACAUCGGGAAAAAUCGCUCGGAGUCACACAGAAGGAGCACGCUUGCGGCAAAAGAAGCCAAGGAGGGACCAAUAGCCUCGGUUUACAUGCGUUUCAGUUCAAGAACAGAUUAAUGAUGAAAACUGAGGUACAGUCGUCCUUCCUUAUUCGUUCCAGACCCGACAGUGCUAGGUGAAUUUCUGCAAACUACGAUUCAAUAUUAAUAAAUUGAAUUUUUUUGUAGUUGGAGCAUAGGAAACGUGUUUAUGCCUUUUCUAAAUAAUUUUUAAAAUCAUUAAGAGCUGCGCAGACAUAAGAUAACAUCCCUAUAAUCACCUUUACACUCCUAUUAUUCUGUGUUGACACCACAUUGCUAACACACGGGCUAUGGGAUCACUGAAGACAAAAUAAGA